AGACAUUGACAGCUCAAUGGAGCAUUGCUUUGCAGCCCCUGUAAUGGUAAUCAUAUGAAAGCAUUUGCCCCACCCCAGGGUGACCGUGGGAACCUGGAGAAGUUAAGAAAUGAAUGUAAUAGACUGAACUGCAAGCUGUGGCAGUCUGGGUCUGGAAGGAGAAGAAGCUGUAGAAGAUAUUUUCCUUCAGUAGCUUCUCCACAGCCAUGGUGGGAGAUGGCAGAAACAGCCAGCAUCACUUCUGGGAGGUGGACCACAGAAGAGAAAAAGAAACAACAGACCCAAUAGGGUCUCGCAUGGUUCUGAACACAUAGUAAAUGCUGAAUUACUAUUUCCUAAAUUAUCAUAAAGCUGAGAAGAAUCAUGAUUCUCAAACUUCACCUUGGAAUUAAAAUGGAUUUCCUUGAGAAGCACAUAUGAGGUGCUCAGAAAAUCAAUUUGGAAUGAGGCUAAGAAGGCAAUUCUUUAAAGCCCAGGAAGGCAUUGGCAGGACAGAGAAUCUGAAACAAACAAAGCCUUGGUAAGUUUAUCAUCAGUCAAGACACUCAGGACUUGUUCAUAAGUGGGUUACAAAGCAAAGCAAAAGUUUCUGAGUAAAACUCUACUGGUGAAUCCACGUACACCUCAUCUGAGUCCUUCUAUAUUCAAUCAUAACUUUAAAUUUUGGUUAGAUUAUGUUUAAGCAAUUGAAAAAGCGUUGUGGGGACUAUGUUUACAGGGUAAUAUGCAUUUACUUUAUGAGGAAGAUGAAAUAUUUGCAAAUAUUAGACAAGAUUAUCAGGAAUGUCUAUGUGUACCAUUUUUGUAAGUAAAGUUUUACCUAGGGUAAACUUUAAUCAGACCAUGAUUUUUGCUGUUUUCCCAAAAUACACACACACACACACACACACACACACACACACAAAUCUUUGUAUGACGUGUCAGGGGAGGGAUAGAUGGUGCUGGGUGGUGAAGGCUUGAUAGAUUUUCUGCUAUACGUGUCAGUGAGGAGUAGACUCAUUCUCCUUUCCUGUCACAUUGUUUGAAACAAAAUGUUUCUCCCCCAAACAUAUGACUCCAAUAACCUUGGUGGCAGCUUUGCCAGUUCUGAUGGAACAAGAGGCCGUGAACACUUGAUCCUACAGAUUUGCUUGUCAUCUCUGCCAUUGAGUCAUGCUAGCCCCAUUACUAGGCUGCAGAAAUCUGUCAUUUACUAAUCUGCUUGGAAUGUCAAGGAAAGCAGAGCUGAAGCUUUGAUGGGUGAAUCUCCUGUCCUGGAUACUCUCUGCUGGGCUCAGAAGAAUGCCAAAAGAGCUGGCAGCUGAGUGGAGUUUUGAUUAACUGUACUGGUGUGUACCCACUCAAGCGUCAGUGAGAUUGGUUAUUGUCAGUCAGCUGUCUCCUGAGUGCUGAAUUCUCAUUUAAGCUUUUGUAUUUAACGGGAAACUCACAGUUCUCUCACUCUGGAGUUUUAAAUGAAGUUCAAAUCAGAUGUAAUUUGCAGUUUUAUAAAAGCUAUGCAAUAUUUUCUGUCUCUGUAAGUAGCUCAGAAAUGGAAUUGCCUUUAAUGAUUAUAACUUCUUAUUCUCAAAUUUGCAUUAAUGCAUGUUCCCUAACAAGACAAAAACAUUUCCCCACCAAGCACAUCCAUAUGAGGGGUAUGCUUAUGCAUAUUAGUGUUCCCAGGUACAAAGCUGCUUCAUUUCAGCUGCCAUGACUUGACUUUCAUUGUUUUAAGGGCAAUUUGAAUGCAUGGGAUUCACUGGAACACAGAUGCACUCUCCUCAUCUUUCAAAACAAUCAGCAGUUAGAUUACAACAGGCUUUGAUUAAUGCAGGGCUUGCAUGAGAAUGCAAGCCAACGUGUGUCUAAUUGUUUAGCAACAAACAUAGGCCCCCAUUUAAUGCUCUGGAAAUUAGCACUCUCUUUAAGAGCCAAAUCAAAUAUUGUAUUCUGGCUCUGCAGACCACAGGCAUCUAACAGUCCGCAGGUACUACUGUUGUCCUCUAGAAUAACUGUGCUGGUUUAGUAUACAAAGACUUUUGGUUAGGGGAGUCUGGAUUUUCAGCAAGGUCUUUAAAAAGUGUGCAGUGUUGCUAGUCCUUUACAUACGCUGGAAUUUAAUGUCGGUACCACUUAACAUCAGAUCUUCAUCUGGGUAGAACAAUUUCUGUAGGAAAGACAUGGUAACAGAAUACCAAAAUCUGAACUUAGGUUAAGAGCAAAGAAAUACGUUUAACCUGUUUUGUGUUUUGUUUUGUUCUGUUUUGAACAUGUCUCCAUAUUUAAGUGUCUGGCUUAAAUGUUUUGACACCCUCUUACUGAAAAACUGGACUUUCCUGAUACUCCUGAAAACCGACACCACCCCAUUUCAACAUAAAGGGUCCCUGUUGCACAAUGGCUGACGUGAGAAGUCAAAUAAAUAUCAUAAGCAUCUAGGAGGGAUCACUCAGGAAAAAAAGAAGUCACAUUAGUUAUUGUAAUAAAAAUAACAAUAAAAAAUGGAUUAAACAGGUAUUGGAGAACUGAAACAGUUAAAAAAAGAAAAAAAAAGACAGAACAGAAACAGUGACUACCAAAGGCAGCUACCAUUCCAUAGAGCCAGGGGAACUAAGGGAAGAGGUUGGCCUUAUUUGAACCUACACCUAUUAGUUUGAGCCAGGGCCAGCUUCACGGCUGCGCAACCUAUGCAGUCACAUGGCACCCUGUGCACAGAAGGGUCUGGCUUAUGUUCUGCUUUCACUGUCUGAUGAACAAUUUUUGAACAAGGGACCCUCAUUUUUCAUUUCACACCGUUAUGGAACUGGUCCUGGUUUGAAUCAUAUGAAAUGUCUCUGUUUUUAGAUCAAGAUGUUCAACUACCAGCAAUGUUAUAUGGUAAAUAAUAAAAGCUUAUAGAGGGGUUGUGUGGAACUGAAGCUCAAAAUGCUAGGAGAAGGGUGCUGGCUAGCUAGUGCCGUGGGGUCCCUGAGAAUGAUUCCAGGAGUAUGAAUAUAAAAGGGAGAUCCGAAGUCAACUGUCGCUGCCAGAAAACAGAAGCACUGACGAGUUGACACAACAGGAAGCAAACAGGAACAUGUGUGUCUCUUAUGUCUCCCUCUGUGUCCUUUCAUUUGUAAAACUGAGUAGAGACCCUCCUGGAAAAGCAGAAAAAGCUUUGCAGAAGCUCAGGUCCAGCUUCAAUAAGCAGAAAAUAGAAGGGUGGGCCUGAAGCCUGCUAUAGACUGAAUGUUCAUGUCCCUCCACUCACAAAAUUUGUUUUUAAAAUCCUACCACCCAAGAUGAUGGUAUUAAGAGGUGGGGCCUUUGGCAGGUGAGUAGGUUAUUGGGGUGGAGCCCUCAUAAAUGGAUCUAGUGGAUUUUUUUUUUUACUUCAACUCUCUUAUAAAAGAGACCCUAGAGAGCUUCCUUACCCUUUCCGCCAUGUUGAGGACACAGCAAGAAGAUGGUGCUCUACGAAUCAGGAGAUGGGUGCUUGUUAUACACCAAUUCUGUAGGCAUCUUCGUCUUUUACUUUUCAGCCUCCAGAACAGUAAGAAACUCAUUAUUUAUAAGCCAUCCAGCCUAUGGUAUUUCUCUUAUAGCAGUACAAAUGAACUAAGACAGUCUGGAGACAAUAGCUUAAAUAUGAACACAAGGGACACUAAGCCAGUGAGGGUAAGUGGUUCCUGUGAUAUCAGAAUUAAAAGAAUAAAUAUAACAAAAAUGUUAAAAAAAAAAAAAACCUUUAAUGUGAUACAAAUAGAGUACAUAAAAUCGUUUCUCUGAAGUUUCAACAUAUUUUUGGAUAUAAAAAAUCAAGAGGGCCGGGCGUGGUGGCUCAUGCCUGUAAUCCCAGCACUUUGGGAGGCCGAGGCGGGCAGAUCACGAGCUCAGGAGAUCGAGAC
rnacentral:lncRNA from 1 species